rnacentral:snRNA from 1 species
UCUGUUGUAAAGCAGCUUUUUUGUAGUAUCUGUAUCUGUUCUUAUCAGUUUAAUAUCUGAUACGUCCCCUAUCCGGGGGCUACAUAUGAAAUUGAUUUUUGGAUCACGGAGCUGGAGACGGGGCUUGCUCAGUCCACUCCAAUUGUUUUUUUUUGGGGGGGGGGUAGUUUGAAG